UUGACCUCGGAUCAGGUAGGAGUUACCCGCUGAACUUAAGCAUAUCAAUAAGCGGAGGAAAAGAAACCAACCGGGAUUGCCUCAGUAACGGCGAGUGAAGCGGCAAGAGCUCAAAUUUGAAAUCUGGCCCCUUUGGGGUCCGAGUUGUAAUUUGCAGAGGAUGCUUCGGGUGCGGUCCCCGUCUAAGUGCCCUGGAACGGGCCGUCAUAGAGGGUGAGAAUCCCGUCUGGGAUGGGCGGCCGCGCCCGUGUGAAGCUCCUUCGACGAGUCGAGUUGUUUGGGAAUGCAGCUCUAAGCGGGUGGUAAAUUUCAUCUAAAGCUAAAUACUGGCCGGAGACCGAUAGCGCACAAGUAGAGUGAUCGAAAGAUGAAAAGCACUUUGAAAAGAGAGUUAAACAGCACGUGAAAUUGUUGAAAGGGAAGCGUUGUCCACCAGACUCGCCCGGGGGGGUUCAGCCGGCACCUGUGCCGGUGUACUCCUCUCCGGGCGGGCCAGCAUCGGUUUGGGCGGCUGGUGAAAGGCCCCGGGAAUGUACCACCCUCCGGGGUGCCUUAUAGCCCGGGGUGCCAUGCAGCCAGCCUGGACCGAGGCCCGCGCUUCGGCAGAUGCGGC
rnacentral:rRNA from 1 species